GCAGCUUAAGGACGGACUCCCCGACGACAUGGAGGUGAUGUACGUCGGCUCCCUCCGCGUCGAAGUCGAGCCGCACGAGCAGGACGAGGUCUCGCAGACGCUUCUUGAGCGAUUCAAAUGCGUGCCGGCGUUCCUCCCGCCCGACCUCCUCGACCGCUUCUACCAUGGAUUCUGUAAGCAACUCCUCUGGCCGCUAUUCCACUACAUGCUUCCAUUUCACGGCACCACCG
rnacentral:misc_RNA from 1 species